CAAGGAAUUGCCAAGGAGCACACAAGCCGGGAUUUCUGCCUACCACUCGGUUUAGCUCUGGCAGCUCAGCUCAAGUCUUCAAAUCUCAGGUCUAAUGGUGCUGAAGUAGGCUAAACAAACAAGCUGUAAUAGCUGCGAUCAGAGAAUCAGCACCACAGAAGCGGACAGCGACAGAAUCGGAACUCAGCACCACGUGACAUUGGAAAGCGACGCUCUCAGGUGCAGACACUCACCACUUGAACAAUCUGACCGCAGGCCACUACUGAAGGAAAGGUUCCUGCACGAAUGUAAUUUGCUAGACUGAUUCAGCCAGCCAUACUGACUUCUUCAUCCAAACGUUAGAAUUGUAAGUAAUAGGGAAUAAAUUACAAUGCGAAAAUGA